CAGCCGCCGCGGUAAUACGUAGGUGGCAAGCGUUGUCCGGAAUUAUUGGGCGUAAAGGGCUCGCAGGCGGUUUCUUAAGUCUGAUGUGAAAGCCCCCGGCUCAACCGGGGAGGGUCAUUGGAAACUGGGAAACUUGAGUGCAGAAGAGGAGAGUGGAAUUCCACGUGUAGCGGUGAAACGCGUAGAGAUGUGGAGGAACACCAGUGGCGAAGGCGACUCUCUGGUCUGUAACUGACGCUGAGGAGCGAAAGCGUGGGGAGCGAACAGGAUUAGAUACCCGAGUAGUCCCUGUCUCUUAUAC
rnacentral:rRNA from 1 species